rnacentral:rRNA from 1 species
GACGAACGCUGGCGGCGUGCUUAACACAUGCAAGUCGAACGGAAAGGCCCUGCUUUUGUGGGGUGCGCGAGUGGCGAACGGGUGAGUAACACGUGAGUAACCUGCCCUUGACUGUGGGAUAACUUCAGGAAACUGGGGCUAAUACCGGAUAGGAGCUCCUGCUGCAUGGUGGGGGUUGGAAAGUUUCGGCGGUUGGGGAUGGACUCGCGGCUUAUCAGCUUGUUGGUGGGGUAGUGGCUUACCAAGGCUUUGACGGGUAGCAGGCCUGAGAGGGUGACCGGCCACAUUAGGACUGCGAUACGGCCCAGACUCCUACGGGAGGCAGCAGUGGGGAAUAUUGUACAGUGGGCGGAAGCCGGCUGCAGCAACGCCGCGGGCGGGAUGACGGCCUUCGGGUUGUAAACAGCUUUCGCCUGUGACGAAGAGUGAGUGACGGUAAUGGGUAAAGAAGCACCGGCUAACUACGUG